CAGCCUGAGCCUGGUUCUGUUGUAGUGUUGAAUCAUUGGCACUAGAUGUUAAAGAUCCUGUCGCUCCAACAGGAGGAACUGAGGUUAUUCCAGCCCUUUCCUUGGGCAACAAUCCAGGCACAGGAGUUGCUGCAGCUGCCCCAUACUGUGGUCCAGCUGAACUGCUAGAAAAUUCCCCUGAUUUUGAUGACAAGGGAGAUUGAGCCAAGGUUCCACCAGAUAGGCGUGGGCUUUGCACUGCUUUCCUUUUUUGUAUCUGUUCCUCCUCUUUCAAAUUACUAUCAAUCUGCUGAUUGACGUUACUAUCAAAUCUUCCAUCCCCUGUGAAGUCCUCAGCAAGCACCGAAUCUUCAAAGCCAGCAAUACUUUUCGUUUCCUCGCUUUUACCACUAGCGGAAUGUGAAGGUUGCUGAAGCUCACUUGGCGGAAAGUAACUAUUUUUGUUGGGUGAAAGAGAAUCAUUCUCUGUUUCCUCGCUGUGAGUUUCGUCAAUUUGGAUUCUGUUCAUGCCCAAAUUAAGUUCCGGGUCUGCAGGCUGAGAAGACAAGCAACAUAUUGAUUUCAAUCUACUUAAUACCUGAGCAGCAGUGAUUCAAGUCAAAGGCCCCCCGGAACUAAAAUGGUUUCUAAUUUGUUGCGAAAAAGAAGUCACAUUGAGAGAUAGAUGAUACCACGGACUUCAGUUUACUAUAAUAAACUAAAGGAACUUACAAGUGCAGAAAUACAGUAGACAUGAAGCUGAAUUGUUACAUCAGCACUAAUCUUUUACCGAUGAAACAAACAAGCAGCGAUGUCUGCUAUCAAUUUUGUCCAUAGAUUUCCAUCAUCUGUCGUACGCAUGCAUUAAUAAUGCUCAUUCAUCCCAUGUUAAUCACACUUCCGAUUUUCGCCGACAGAUAAAUCCUUUUUUCUCUUUCAGUCCAACAGUGAGGGUUCGGUUCUUUUUCUUGCGAACUUUAAAAUUAUGCAAUUGUUUCUCCAUGUAUUCUUUCAUUAAGGGACGUGUAUCGCGCGGUGCAUCAUUUCUAGUUCACCUAAAAAUAAAAAGGUCAUUGUCAUUACCAUAACGUCACAAACACCCCCAUCAUAUCUACUAGCCAAAAAGCAGACUUUACUGAAACCCAUUGCAACAGAGAGAUGAACUUAUCUACUCCCAAAAUCAAACCCAGAAAAACAAGAGCAAAACGACGCAGACCCACGAGAGGAGGGACAAAGAUAAAACGAUACAACGACCGGACAAAUAACAAGUGCAUAAGAGAAGAGAGAGGGGACACGAGGAAAUUACAGAGGAGCGACGAUGCGCAGGACCACCCACCGGACGCCAAGCUCGGCCUCCCGGCGGGGCGGAGCUCGAUCCCACGUCGCUUGCUCUCCUGCCGCGAUUCAUCUGCUCCGGAAUUCGGAACUUGGGCCGUCGCAAAGAUCGGGUUUUUCCUCUUGUAGCGAGAGAAAGUCCGAGGACGAGAACGGCUUACAUACGUAUAUGUGCAUGCGUGUACGGCUUUCCGUCUUCCGCCUGCGAUGGAUUUCGCUGCGAAAAUCGAAACUGCUUUAAAUGCUUCGCGAAGUCUCGCCUUUUCCGACGUCGAAGAUUCAGGUUUCGAGGAUGACGGUAGUAAUAAGAGGGGAGUGAUCGAAAAUGUUGUUGUCGACCAGUGCCCAAGCAUUUCUAGGCCGAAGCCCGAAAAAAAAAAAAAAAAAAAAGAGCAUGCGCCGAGGAGUACAUAUAAUUGUCUAAAUAAUUAUUAGGAUAAAAACCGCCAAAUUUCCAAACUUUAUCUAUUGCGACACGUUUAUCAUGAAUUAUUCAUGUGAUACAUUUAAAACUUAUACAACAUGCCCUUAAACUUAUUUUUUGUGACACCAAACAAACUUUUAAAGACCCCAAACUUGUAUGUGUAUGACAUAUUCACAAAAAAAGUUUGAGAAUUUUGUGUAACAAAAAAAAAAUUGAAAUAAUAAGUUUGAAAUAAAUACAUCAUGGUUUUUGGCGUCGAAGAAAAAAGUUUAGAUUAAAUGUGUCAAAAUGGGUGAAUAAUUUAGGUAAAUGUAUUACUAUGGAUAAAAUUUGAAAUUUUUGUGUAGCUUUCUCCCUAAUUAUUAGGAAAACAUGGGCGAAGAUAGUAUACAAUACAAGUUUUCACUUAUUCUACAGCAAUAUAAAUCUUGCAUCUUGCAAACUAAUGACAAUUGUACCUUCCAGACUCAAUAAAUUGAAAUCACCUUCUUGAACAAAUGAGCAGUAGCUUCGCAAAUCGAGCAAGAUAUUUAUGAUCACGCGUCAUGUCGCGCAAGACUUUCACAAGCCUACUUGGAACGAAGAACUGUCAAAAUGCUAGUAACGAGGACACGAAAUCGCUUUAAGAAGUUAAAAAAACAGUCUGGCCAGAGAAUGAAGAAAGGAUCUGGCAGGAUCCACGGGGUAAUGUACAUGUACAUGAUAUCUCCAUGAAUAUUUGGCAUGAACUUGUUUCUGAUUAUUAUUUCUAACUACUAUAGACUACAUGAUUACAGGGAUUGUAGAGUAUGUCUUCACCACAAAGUCAGCCAAACAAGAAAAACCCAGAAGGAAAAGAAAAUGGGAAAGGAAGUAGACAGUCUUGACAUGCUCACUGCUCCGGCUCAACUGAUUGAAAAUUCACAUACAUCAUUCCGUUUCAUCCUUCAACCUUUGUACAUCGCAAUUUUCGCAUCUCAGAAUCCAAGAUCUCAUUCUCCUCUGCGGUUUGCGAGUUUCUUUCUUUCCCCUUACUGUCCUCUUACGCCGCCGUGAGUUCCAUGCUAUUGUAUGGGAAAUCCACCUCGGACAUCAAAACAAGACACAUCACAGUGCAGGUGUCCCGCUUUUAAUCAAUUUAUUGGUGAUUUCCAGCAUUGAGAUCAAUGGAGUCUAAAAAGCAGCCCUUUCCUAGAGAGCCAAGGGGAAAAUUUGUGCCUUGCCCCCUCCUCAAAGCCCCGGUGUCGAUUAUACUGGCACUUUUAUCAACAACUACCUCUUCCGCUCCAUCUUAUAUAAACAAAAACCUCUAAAAAAUCCUUCAACUUCUCUGCUAAGUUAAGAAACGAUUCAGAAGCGCAUAGGACAGGACUUCAUUAUGCACUGCUCAAGUUGCUUUUAUUAACACCUUGUAGCUCCAUAGGAGAAUUGUUUAUACUGCCAACUGAGCCAAGGGUCUGAGAACUCAACUGUGGACUAGCGGGACAAGCUUCUGGAUUACCAGCACUCAUGCCAUGCAUUGUCCCACAGCUGAUCUGUUGAGGGCUCACUGGGGUUCUUUGGCUCAUUUGCUGGGGACUAGACUGCUGUUGCUGCUGUUGGGAUUGUGAGCUCAAUUGUGGAAUUGCCAUGUUUGAAGGUGAACUUAUUUGUGGUGGUGACAUAACAACUUGCAAGGGUGAGGUUGUUUCUAGCUGAUGCAGCUGCUGCUGCUGCUGCAACUGUUGUUGCUGCAAUUGGAGAUGCUGCUGUUGCUGCUGUGGUUGCUGCUGCAAUUGCUGUUGCUGUUGUUGCAACUGCAUCUGCUGCUGCUGAUGCUGCAGCUGCUGUAGCUGCUGCUGUGGUGGCUGCUGCUGAUUCAUAUACAGAUUCAUCCCUGUCGACUUUGGUGGGCCCAUUGCCCCUGUUGGUGCAGACUGCAAAGUGCUCGUGAUAGCUCGAUUAGUGGCCAACAUUUGCGGGCCAGCAGAGCCCAGAAGCACCGAUCGAGGUCCAGAGACACCACCCAUGCCAGACUGAGUGCCCCCUAACACAGCUUGACCAUGCCUCACCCCCGGAUAUCUUAAAACGGGUUGCGGCAGUCGCGUUAUUGAAUUGCCAACGUAGGAGGCAUGGGGUAUGUUCACGGUAUUCUGACCCGUGGGGGCUGAAAUUCCAGCCCCUCCGCCCUUUGCACCUGGCAUACUCACGGUGUUACUCAUGCCACCCACCCAUGUUUCCCAUGCCCAUAGCAGCUCCUAUCACCAUUUGUCUUUGCAACAUCGAUUGUCGUUGCUGCUGCUGCUGCUGUUGCACUUGCUGUGGCUGUUGCUGCUGUAAAAUCUGAAGAUGCGGAGGUGGUGGCUUAUUUGCCAUGUGAUUGCCCAACUGAAUACUAGUAUUCUGGCUGGCAUUCAAGUGCAAGAGGGGAUUUGUACGAAAGUGACCAAGAUGUUGAACCAUAGGAUUUUGGUUAUGUUGUUGCUGCAGCUGCUGAGCCUGUUGCUGCAAUGAGGACUGUGAAUCUAGCUGUUGUGGCCGUCCAGGCACAGAGACUCCCGGAGCUAUUGGUGAGGCAUGAGGGUUUCCAGGAGGCAGCAUCCUUGCAUGUGGAGGAAUAUUCACAGAUGAACUAAGAGAUACAUUGCCACUAUUAGAGGUAGGCAACACUUCACUGGACGAUUGACCUGAAACUCCUUCAGGACAGCGCGGGAUAUCAGCACCGGAAUUAUUUUGAGGAGUUCCAGGAGCAUUAGGUUGACUGCUUGGGGCAAAAUUCAUGCGGGUCAGUUUUGGUUGGACCUGAUCUCCUUCCACAUGAAAUCCUUCGCGUGUCAUCUGCAGAAACAUUCAAUAUCAUUUGAUUGAAAUGUAAAUCAAUAUCGGAUAGAUUUAAGCACUUAAGCUUGACCUGUUUUCAUAAACCUACCAAUGAGCAUAACUGGUCUGCAAGCAAAUCUGCCAAAUGCUGUAUCAGAAAUUCAAUCACAGAUGUUAGCCAUAAUGUUGAAAGAAAAACAUACUUUCUUGUGAGGCAAGGUAAGAAUAAGGCCACAUAGUGCAUAUGAUAAACAGGAAACCACAUCUUCCAACUAUGAAGUAGGUGAACACACUGAAAUGCCAUUUGACAUUAGAAAGAUUUAUAGGCAAGACUCUUACGGUAUUUGGUAGUGUCGGAAGAUGCUCCUCUGAAGCCAGAAUAUCACCCUCUUCCAAAUCUCCAUAGUGCAUAGCAAUGGUACCAUCACUUGAUUUCUCUGACAUGAUCAUCUUGGUCUGAGGCCGGGAGACAACAGUCCCUAUACAAACAGGAGAAAGCCCAUGUUAAUCGAAAGAAAGUUCAUGCAAGUGAUGUUGCUUUUGUCUUUCAUUACAUUAUCCUCUCUACAACAUCAAAAUUAGCAUCUCAUCCUUCCAAAAUCAUUCAAGUUGGGUGUUGUUUCUUAAACCAAAAGACAUUCUUUUCUACGGGUGGUACCAUAUGAUGGCAGACUUUAACACAUCAAGAUCGGGCAAGUACAAGUAACAGAAAUUUAACUCCACGCCACAUGUGAUUGGAUACUUUGCACUGUAGCCAAUAUAAUGGUAAAUACUGCAAAAUUCUAGCAGCCAGCAGCAAUUUUAAGUCAGCAUAAAAUGAGAAGGAAAGGUGUAGCAAAGUCCAAGGUACAAUUAAUAUCAGACUGGAGAAAUCAAUUUUAUGCUACCGUAGGCCAUCUCCACAUGAAAGAUGUAACAAACCUUGAAGAUUUCGCUCUAGCUGCAAAAACUUAAGGACUCUAGUCUUGCAAAUAUUUGUGCUGCCUCCAACCAGUGACUUCGAGAGUGAUCUGGUACAUGAGUCAUCCUUAAAAUUCACAUCGUUGGAAACAUUGUGUAGACAUACUGAAAGAUGCUCAGUGAGGAAGGCACCGGGCUUCAUGGCUGGGUAAUCUACCUUGUUCUUUUUGUGGCCUAUUUGGUACCUGAAGCAUCAUUGGAUGAGGGACAAUACUCAGAAUGUAAUGAAUUAUAUAUUUGAUAUUUAUAUCAGAAAACAGAUGCCAAUAAUUGCUUGAGAAAAAUUAUGUACUAUGCUUCUGGAUGCCCAUGUAAAGCAGGUGGACUAAGAAUAUUUCGAGUUUUCAAGAUUUACUGUACAGUCUGUACUUCAUAUUGCUUAACUCAAUUACAAGUCAAAGUCAAGCAGCAAGCACAAUAGCAACAUAUAAGUUGUCAUGGUUGCAGCAUGGUAAUUAGAGCAUCCUAUGCUUUAAAGAAGGACAAAGCUUACUGAUAUAAUCCACAUCUAAAUGCCAUCUAGAUCAGCCUCAUGAUCAAGAACGCAAUUAGAUCAUUUUUCAAACUAUUGUCUCACUGGGAGCUAGAAAUUUAAACCUCAUGACAACAGAUAAAUGUUGUAGACAUCUAUCCUUAAUCUACAUUUCCAUCAGAGGUAGAUGUUCGCUAAAAAGCUAUUAAUAUAAUAGGAAUACAUCCUGAAAACAGAUCAAAGUUCCUGAUUGCUCUGAAAAUCAUUAGCCAACCACCAUAAAUACUCCAACUGGCUUCGCCUAUAAUCAUGUAAAUUGGUGCUUUACAUAGAAAAAAUAAGAUUGGUAUCCCAAUUUUUCAAGUUCUAGACAACCAGCUUUGCUGCAUUGCUGAUGCGGCUAACUAAACUUUUUCUCAUCCUAGCUAUUAUUGUUAAGACUCUGUAUUAACAAACUCCAGGCAAGUAAAUUACUGAAGAGAAAUUAUAAACUAUAAAACUGAAAAAUGUCUGACUAGCAGAAAUACAGGAGGGAAAACAAGACAGAGCAACAGGCUUCAGAGCUCAAUCAACCUCAUACCUCGUCAUAAUUGUAUCAAUCUUUAAAAACCUCUCAAGCAUUGUCUGAUCAACCAGAGGUGGGGUUCCAACAGAAGGACUGCUCGCAUUUAAUGCAACACCAAUGUUGCUCACGCUAGCAGGAGAGCCAACACCGCUGAUUAUUGGCGUCUUUGGAAGUGAAUUCUGUCUUCGUUUUGCAGCAGCCUGGGCCUGGUUCUGUCGUAGUGUUGAAUCAUUGGCACUAGAUGUUAAAGAUCCUGUCGCUCCAACAGGAGGAACUGAGGUUAUUCCAGCCCUUUCCUUGGGCAACAAUCCAGGCACAGGAGUUGCUGCAGCUGCCCCAUACUGUGGUCCAACUGAACCGCUAGAAAAUUCCCCAGAUUUUGAUGACAAAGGAGAUUGAGCCAAGGUUCCACCAGAUACGCG
rnacentral:lncRNA from 1 species